rnacentral:rRNA from 1 species
CAGGCCUAACACAUGCAAGUCGAACGCUGAAGCCCCAGCUUGCUGGGGUGGAUGAGUGGCGAACGGGUGAGUAACACGUGAGUAACCUGCCCCUGACUUCGGGAUAAGCCCGGGAAACUGGGUCUAAUACCGGAUACGACCUGUCCUCGCAUGAGGGUGGGUGGAAAGUUUUUUCGGUUGGGGAUGGGCUCGCGGCCUAUCAGUUUGUUGGUGAGGUAAUGGCUCACCAAGACGACGACGGGUAGCCGGCCUGAGAGGGCGACCGGCCACACUGGGACUGAGACACGGCCCAGACUCCUACGGGAGGCAGCAGUGGGGAAUAUUGCACAAUGGGGGAAACCCUGAUGCAGCGACGCAGCGUGCGGGAUGACGGCCUUCGGGUUGUAAACCGCUUUCAGCAGGGAAGAAGCGAAAGUGACGGUACCUGCAGAAGAAGUACCGGCUAACUACGUGCCAGCAGCCGCGGUAAUACGUAGGGUACGAGCGUUGUCCGGAAUUAUUGGGCGUAAAGAGCUCGUAGGUGGUUGGUCACGUCUGCUGUGGAAACGCAACGCUUAACGUUGCGCGUGCAGUGGGUACGGGCUGACUAGAGUGCAGUAGGGGAGUCUGGAAUUCCUGGUGUAGCGGUGAAAUGCGCAGAUAUCAGGAGGAACACCGGUGGCGAAGGCGGGACUCUGGGCUGUAACUGACACUGAGGAGCGAAAGCAUGGGGAGCGAACAGGAUUAGAUACCCUGGUAGUCCAUGCCGUA